UACGGAGGAUGCGAGCGUUAUCCGGAUUUAUUGGGUUUAAAGGGUGCGCAGGCGGAAUGUCAAGUCAGCGGUAAAAUUUCGGGGCUCAACCCCGUCGUGCCGUUGAAACUGGCGUUCUUGAGUGAGCGAGAAGUAUGCGGAAUGCGUGGUGUAGCGGUGAAAUGCUUAGAUAUCGCGCAGAACCCCGAUUGCGAAGGCAGCGUACCGGCUCCACACUGACGCUGAGGCACGAAAGCGUGGGUAUCGAACAGG
rnacentral:rRNA from 1 species